UAAGUAAGAAUACAUAGAUAUAAGCA
rnacentral:piRNA from 1 species